CGUAGGAGGCAAGCGUUAUCCGGAUUCACUGGGCGUAAAGCGCGUGCAGGUGGCGCGGUAAGUUGGGCGUGAAAUCUCCCGGCUCAACUGGGAGAGGUCGUCCAAUACUACCGUGCUUGAGAGCAGAAGAGGAAGAUGGAAUUCCCGGUGUAGUGGUGAAAUGCGUAGAUAUCGGGAGGAACACCAGUGGCGAAGGCGAUCUUCUGGUCUGUUUCUGACACUCAGACGCGACAGCUAGGGUAGUAAGCGGGAUUAGAGACCCCGGUAAUCCUAGCCGUAAACGAUGUGAACUUGGCGUUGGUGGGUUAAACUCCAUCGGUGCCGUAGCAAACGCGAUAAGUUCACCGCCUGGGGACUACGGCCGCAAGGUUA
rnacentral:rRNA from 1 species